UUCAAUUUCGUUGGCCGCCUCCUUGGUCCUAGAGGGAACUCACUCAAGAGAGUAGAGGCAAGUGUUGAGUGCCGUGUUCUAAUUAAAGGACAUAGCAGCAUCAAGGAUCCUGUUAAGGAAGAGAUGAUGUGAGGGAAACCUGGGUAUGAGCAUCUGAAUGAACCUCUCCACAUACUUGUUGAGACAGAAUUGCCAGCAGAGAUAGUUGAUGCUCGUUUAAUGCAAGCAUGUGAAAUACUUGAAGAUCUACUCAAGCCUGCGGUAACUUAUUCUUCUACACCUGAACCUUAAGAGCGCUAAUGAAGGGGAGUAUGCUAGAAACAACCCACCGCCUGAAUGUGACCUCGAGAAAUGGAAAAACUUGAUUGACAGGAAGUGGAAUGAUAGCAAUUGGCUGAAACAAUCAAUCGCUAACAUUGACAAUAGAAAACAAUUGAAGACGAAACAUAGAUGCGGGUCAAACUUGCUCCUUUUUGAUUGGUUUUUGAUGACAUUUGGAAGCAUCCUUGCAAAUCAAGAUCAAGUGUUGAAUUUUUUU